rnacentral:sRNA from 1 species
UGCCCUUUAAGGGCAUUCCGUGAGCAGGUCCCACACCCCAGGUGGCCACUUGAGGCCACUGGUGGAAAAGCAGCAUGCCCUGAGGGGGGUUCGUUUUCAGCCUGGUCACGGGCGGCCUCCUGUGUGCCCCUUUCCCUGAUGGUCUGGUGCCCUCGGCUCCCUCCCCACCUCCUGCCCCCACUGCUUCUCAGUGUGAUGUGGGUGCAGUGGGUGAAACGCGGCCUCCUCUGUCCUUUUCCUCUGCCGGCUCGGCCGCCCACCUGCCCGCCUGCCUCGUCCUCCCAGGUGAGGAGCUCAUCUACCUGGACCCCCACACCACGCAGCCAGCCGUGGAGCCCACUGACGGCUGCUUCAUCCCAGACGAGAGCUUCCACUGCCAGCACCCGCCAUGCCGCAUGAGCAUCGCGGAGCUUGACCCGUCCAUCGCUGUGGGGUUUUUCUGUAAGACUGAAGAUGACUUCAGUGACUGGUGCCAGCAAGUCAAAAAGCUGUCUCUGCUCGGAGGCGCCCUGCCCAUGUUUGAGCUGGUGGAGCAGCAGCCUUCACACCUGGCCUGCCCCGACGUCCUGAACCUGUCCCUAGAUUCUUCUGAUGUAGAGCGACUGGAAAGAUUCUUCGACUCAGAAGAUGAAGACUUUGAAAUCCUGUCCCUUUGAAAAUCCUGGGGUCAGGGGUGGCACCUGUGAGAGCCUGGGGCUCCUGGUGCCACCGCGUUUCAUCCAUCCCGCCCGCUCGCCUGACGAGGGCCGCGCCUCGUGCUGCCUCCCCCCAGAGGGUCACCCGCUCUGCUCGUGGACUGAGGCUGCGCUGCCCGGGAGGCCUUACUGCUUGGUGUCGGACUGCCCAGCUCAGAGUGCCCGUCAGGGUCUGUGCAUCCGCACGUGGAGCCAUCUGUUAGGAGCUUCCAGAGGGUUCUCUUGACACUGCCAGCCCCGUGUUAGCGCCUGGGCCUCAGUCCCACUUGCUCCCAGGCGCCGGUUCUGUGGUUGGUUUGAAUUAAAGUCCUGUUUGAAGUUGUCAGACACAGACAUGAAUUUCUGGGGCGCUUCCUGAGUCAGAGUCUCAGAAGACCUGUGCAGGCUGGUGUGAGAGGAGCGACAGCCACACUGCGGCCCCACGUCCAAAGACUGGGCUGCUCUCGAGGGGGGCGCGCCCACCGCUGUGUCUUCUCUGCCCAGCCUGGCUUACCAAGGGCUACCUCAGUGGGAGAUGAGGUUGGAGGAAUGAAGGCAAGGUUCCUCCUUGCUUUGGGGAGAAAAGUAUUCAGGAAGUGGGUGUGUGGGAAACCUGAAGAUGGCGUGCACAGGACACGGCGUGGGCGGCCUGGGCAGAAGGGCGGCUGGCUGUCCUGGGGCUGCUGCUGGAGCCUGCCCUCAAGAGUGUCCCUUUCCAGUGCUGUGGCACUCUGUGGCAGCUUCCCCAGGUGUGGUGACGGGGCAGGGCCUCCACCUGUGACAGUCAGGCUUGAGGGUGGACGGUAUGCCUCUCCCAGGAGCCUUCCCCAUGUCCUUGCCUUGCUAAGAAUUCCCUCCCUUGCCGCUGAGGUGUUAGGUGGUUUAGGGCCAAGAGGGGAAAACCACUUGAGUCUUGUGGUGUGUGGUGGGCAGACACCACAGGGUGGCAUCACCUGGUGGCAUUUCCAGAACCUCAGCCCUGAUUCCAGCACCCACCACCGCCUGACCCUGUGUAACCUGCUGUCCUGGGUCCCAGAGUGCACUCUGCCCCGCUGCUCUGCUGCCUGUCCUGGGAAAGUAGCUUGGCCCUGCUAGGAAAUGUAAACAGGAGGGCUUGGGGAACAUGGGCACGGCAAGCGUGGGCACCUUUCUCAUGAGCAGCUACUGCGGCAUUGGCAGGACUCGCUGCUGCUGCUGCUUGUGUAGGUGGGGGAGCUGGAGAUCCCUGAGGACACGCACCGGACACUCGGCACUGACUGGCUCACCUGGUAGCAGAGGACACCCCUAGCCCCCCAAGCAUUGAAGACAUAGUGUAUUUCCUUGUAUCCUUUCUCCCUUGGGUGUAGUUGGGGUGGGGAAGGAGGGAAGGCUGGGGCAAUCUCCAUUCCUUGGGCUCUGCGUCCAAGUUCAUGGUGCGCCGCUGUGCUGGGAGCUGCAGUGGGAGUGUGUGGGACACCUUGACCAAAGGGGAGCUUUGUCUUGUGUGUUUUGAAAAAGGCUUAAUGAAGAGAAUGUUGUUCAUUCUUAGUAGUAUAGUUUGCAAUUCUUAAUGGCAAAUAAUAAGUUUCAGUAG